rnacentral:rRNA from 1 species
GAUGAACGCUAGCUACAGGCUUAACACAUGCAAGUCGAGGGGAAACGAUAUUGGAAGCUUGCUUCCGAUAGGCGUCGACCGGCGCACGGGUGAGUAACGCGUAUCCAACCUGCCCACCACUUGGGGAUAACCUUGCGAAAGUAAGACUAAUACCCAAUGAUAUCCCACGAAGGCAUCCGAAUGGGAUUAAAGAUUUAUCGGUGAUGGAUGGGGAUGCGUCUGAUUAGCUUGUUGGCGGGGUAACGGCCCACCAAGGCAACGAUCAGUAGGGGUUCUGAGAGGAAGGUCCCCCACAUUGGAACUGAGACACGGUCCAAACUCCUACGGGAGGCAGCAGUGAGGAAUAUUGGUCAAUGGGCGAGAGCCUGAACCAGCCAAGUAGCGUGUGGGACGAAUGCCCUAUGGGUUGUAAACCACUUUUGCAGGAGGGUAAAAUGCUUCACGUGUGGAGUAUUGCAAGUAUCCUGCGAAUAAGGACCGGCUAAUUCCGUG